rnacentral:rRNA from 1 species
CGGGGGGAGCAAGCGUUGUUCGGAUUUACUGGGCGUAAAGGGCGCGUAGGCGGCCACCGCAAGUCGACUGUGAAAUCUCCGGGCUUAACCCGGAAAGGUCAGCCGAUACUGCGGGGCUAGAGUGCAGAAGGGGCAACUGGAAUUCUCGGUGUAGCGGUGAAAUGCGUAGAUAUCGAGAGGAACACCUGCGGCGAAGGCGGGUUGCUGGGCUGACACUGACGCUGAGGCGCGAAAGCUAGGGGAGCGAACGGGAUUAGAUACCCCGGUAGUCCUAGCCUUAAACGACGAAUGCUUGGUGUCUGGGGCUUUAUAGUCCCCGGGUGCCGUCGCUAACGCUUUAAGCAUUCCGCCUGGGGAGUACGGUCGCAAGACUG